rnacentral:rRNA from 1 species
GAUGAACGCUGGCGGCGUGCCUAAUACAUGCAAGUCGAGCGAACGGACGAGAAGCUUGCUUCUCUGAUGUUAGCGGCGGACGGGUGAGUAACACGUGGAUAACCUACCUAUAAGACUGGGAUAACUUCGGGAAACCGUAGCUAAUACCGGAUAAUAUUUUGAACCGCAUGGUUCAAAAGUGAAAGACGGUCUUGCUGUCACUUAUAGAUGGAUCCGCGCUGCAUUAGCUAGUUGGUAAGGUAACGGCUUACCAAGGCAACGAUUCAUAGCCGACCUGAGGGGGUGAUCGGCCACACUGGAACUGAGACACGGUCCAGACUCCUACGGGAGGCAGCAGUAGGGAAUCUUCCGCAAAGGGCGAAAGCCUGACGGAGCAACGCCGCGUGAGUGAUGAAGGUCUUCGGAUCGUAAAACUCUGUUAUUAGGGAAGAACAUAUGUGUAAGUAACUGUGCACAUCUUGACGGUACCUAAUCAGAAAGCCACGGCUAACUACGUG